rnacentral:rRNA from 1 species
AUUGACCUCAGAUCAGACAAGAUUACCCGCCGAAUUUAAGCAUAUUACUAAGCGGAGGAAAAGAAACUAACAAGGAUUCCCCUAGUAACGGCGAGCGAACCGGGAA